rnacentral:snRNA from 1 species
GUGCUUGCUUUGGCAGCACAUAUACUAAAAUUGGAAUGAUACAGAGAAGAUUAGCGUGGCCCCUGUGCAAGGAUGACACGCAGAUUCGUGAAGCGUUCUAUAGUUUU